rnacentral:rRNA from 1 species
UGGGGAAUAUUGCACAAUGGGCGCAAGCCUGAUGCAGCCAUGCCGCGUGUAUGAAGAAGGCCUUCGGGUUGUAAAGUACUUUCAGUCGGGAGGAAGGUGGUAAGGUUAAUAACCUUAUCAAUUGACGUUACCGACAGAAGAAGCACCGGCUAACUCCGUGCCAGCAGCCGCGGUAAUACGGAGGGUGCAAGCGUUAAUCGGAAUUACUGGGCGUACAGCGCACGCAGGCGGUUGAUUGAGUCAGAUGUGAAAUCCCCGGGCUUAACCCGGGAAUUGCAUCUGAUACUGGUCAGCUAGAGUCUUGUAGAGGGGGGUAGAAUUCCAUGUGUAGCGGUGAAAUGCGUAGAGAUGUGGAGGAAUACCGGUGGCGAAGGCGGCCCCCUGGACAAAGACUGACGCUCAGGUGCGAAAGCGUGGGGAGCAAACAGG